CUGAUCCAGCCAUGCCGCGUGCAGGAAGACUGCCCUAUGGGUUGUAAACUGCUUUUAUACAGGAAGAAACCACCUGACGUGUCGGUGGCUGACGGUACUCUACGAAUAAGGAUCGGCUAACUCCGUGCCAGCAGCCGCGGUAAUACGGAGGAUCCAAGCGUUAUCCGGAAUCAUUGGGUUUAAAGGGUCCGUAGGCGGGUAAUUAAGUCAGAGGUGAAAGUUUGCGGCUCAACCGUAAAAUUGCCUUUGAUACUGGUAGUCUUGAAUUAUUGUGAAGUGGUUAGAAUGUGUAGUGUAGCGGUGAAAUGCAUAGAUAUUACACAGAAUACCGAUUGCGAAGGCAGA
rnacentral:rRNA from 1 species